UGGCUAGCAUUGCAACUUCAACGAGCAACGCCAUCGUGUCAUUGCGGGAAUUACCAUUUUGUCGUCGGAGUAACCAAGAUAAAUUGCCUAUCAAAGAAUUAGGAUCACUCAGACCAAAUUUAAAUAUCAAGCAGGUGACUACAAAGGCGGGGAAAACCUACAGCCGCGGAUUUUCACGGAGCUGGUAUGAGCGGAAAAGGUGGCUAGCUGGAUGCGAAGUAGCUAACGUGCUGUUUUGCUAGCCCUGCCUUCUGAUUCACCGGGAUGGAAACACAGACACCGACAUGCACCAUCUCUCGGAGAAGGUGAGAAAACGUGAAGCAUAUGGACAGCUGCCUGAAACUUUCGUCUUUUGGAAGAGUUAACAUCGCCACCCAGUUGGAUGAGAGCUACACCAUAGCUGUGUGUCGUCACAACGAUGAGAGGUAGAAAUGAGAAAGUGACUUUGGUUAUUUUACCCAUUGAUCGGGUCAUCUUAGCCAUCAUCGCAACAAUUGGCCCCCCCUGAGAGAUUUGUCAGGAGCCGCCACUGCAAACGACAAACUCCCCGGAGAUCAAGUGAAGCGUCCACACACCCCUCACAUCUGGACACCAACUCAGUGAUCCUGAAUGUGGGACAACACCAUGUGGCAAAGGCGACUACAGAUGACCCACCGAUGAUAGGCGACCAGUCCAUUUACAGCAAUCUUCCAGAUUCCACAGGAGGAAGCAAGUUUGCCAGUUUGUCGUAAGCAGGCAGGAAAAAGAGAAGAUAUCAUUUCCUUGAGGAAGCAUCUGGACCACGCCAGGCAUUUGGCGUCAGCAAUUAAGCGGGGCCAGAGCUACUUCCACCUCCUGCAGUAAAAGGAACGGGAGGAGCAGGAGAGGCGGCGGGUGAGGCGGGAGGAGCAGCUAAGGACAGAGCCACGACCUCCAAGUUUCUCCUCUGACUCAGACAGCGAUUCAGAAGGGUGGCCUCUGCCAGCAGGAACCAGUUGGUCAGGUGGGAAUGAAGCAAGGCCAUACAGGAAGAAGACCCAGUCAGCACGACCUUUCACCCCCAUCCAUCACUGUCUAACCUCCCCUCUGCUGAGUGAAGCACCGAGGGAGGUCAUCUACCGCCAGCUCUGCUCUCUGAAUUGGCUGCUGGAGGCCUUGACCCUGGAUUGUUCCAGCAGAAUCGGCCCCCUCACCGCCUGCUGGGACCCCAAAGACCCUGGCCGAGGCAGGAUCACGAUGAAGACACUGAAAACGGAGAGAGCCAUUGAGAGCAAAUGGGAGCAGUUUGUUUCAACCAAGGAGUCCUCCCAGCUCCUCUGUUCACCUCCACACCCACAGGAAGUAUUCUUUCAUGGCUGCGGCCUCUCUCUCAGCCCUCACCUUCACCACUGCGAGCAGCAGUAUGUCCUCUCUGGUCCCAGGCCCUCAGGAGGACACGGAGUAUCCGGGAGCAGCAGAGGAAACAGACCAGCCUUCCUCAGAGUGUCUUUGCACACUGCUGCGUGUCCACCAGAGAUUCAAGAAAGAGCGCCAAAAGCCCCCACACCAGCAGUGUGACAGACAG